GCCAUCUUAGCUCAGUUGGUAGAGCAACGGUUUUGUAAACCGUGGGUCGUCAGUUCAAAUCUGACAGAUGGCU
rnacentral:tRNA from 1 species